UACGUAGGGUGCAAGCGUUUAAUCGGAAUUACUGGGCGUAAAGCGUGCGCAGGCGGUGAUGUAAGACAGGUGUGAAAUCCCCGGGCUUAACCUGGGAACUGCAUUUGUGACUGCAUCGCUGGAGUGCGGCAGAGGGGGGAUGGAAUUCCACGUGUAGCAGUGAAAUGCGUAGAGAUGUGGAGGAACACCGAUGGCGAAGGCAGCCCCCUGGGUCAAGAUUGACGCUCAUGCACGAAAGCGUGGGGAGCAAACAGG
rnacentral:rRNA from 1 species